UACAGAGGGUGCUAGCGUUGUUCGGAAUCAUUGGGCGUAAAGGGUGUGUAGGCGGCUGGAUAAGUCUGGCGUGAAAUCUUCACCGCUUAACGGGAAGGGGUCGCUGGAAACUGUUCAGCUUGAGUAUGGUAGAGGCAAGCGGAAUUCCUGGUGUAGCGGUGGAAUGUGUAGAUAUCAGGAAGAACACCGGUGGCGAAGGCGGCUUGCUGGGCCGAUACUGACGCUGAGGAGCGAAAGCGUGGGGAGCGAACAGG
rnacentral:rRNA from 1 species